rnacentral:rRNA from 1 species
AAUCAACGCUGGCGGCGCGCUUAACACAUGCAAGUCGAACGAGAAAGGGGAGCAAUCCCUGAGUAAAGUGGCGUACGGGUGAGUAACACGUGGGUGAUCUACCUGUUAGUGGGGAAUAACUUCGCGAAAGUGGAGCUAAUACCGCAUAAUCCCGCAAGGGGAAAGUAGCAAUACGCUGACAGAGGAGCCCGCGGCUGAUUAGCUAGUUGGUGAGGUAAUGGCUCACCAAGGCUGCGAUCGGUAGCCGGCCUGAGAGGGCACACGGCCACA